UACGAGGGGGGCAAGCGUUGUUCGGAAUUAUUGGGCGUAAAGGGUGCGUAGGCGGUUUGGUAAGUCUGAUGUGAAAUCUAUGGGCUCAACUCAUAGUCUGCAUCGGAAACUGCCGGGCUUGAGUAUGGGAGAGGUGAGUGGAAUUCCUGGUGUAGCGGUGAAAUGCGUAGAUAUCAGGAGGAACACCUGUGGCGAAAGCGGCUCACUGGACCAUAACUGACGCUGAUGCACGAAAGCUAGGGAGCAACAGG
rnacentral:rRNA from 1 species